rnacentral:rRNA from 1 species
UACGGAGGGGGCAAGCGUUGUUCGGAGUUACUGGGCGUAAAGCGCGCGUAGGCGGUGCGGUAAGUCAGGGGUUAAAGGCUGCAGCUCAACUGCAGUAAGGCCUUUGAUACUAUCGUGCUAGAGUGUCAGAGAGGAUGGCGGAAUUCCCGGUGUAGCGGUGAAAUCCGUAGAUAUCGGGAGGAACACCAGAGGCGAAGGCGGCCACCUGGGCCAAGACUGACGCUGAGGUGCGAAAGCGUGGGGAGCAAACAGG